rnacentral:rRNA from 1 species
UUGGAGGGCAAGUCUGGUGCCAGCAGCCGCGGUAAUUCCAGCUCCAAUAGCGUGUAUUAAAGUUGUUGCAGUUAAAAAGCUCGUAGUUGAAUUUCGGGAUCAAUUUGCUGGUCGUGCCUCUGGUACGUACUGGUAUUAUUGGUUUCUCCCUUCUGACGAACCAUGAUGUCAUUAAUUUGAUGUCGUGGAGAAUCAGGACUGUUACUUUGAAAAAAUUAGAGUGUUUAAAGCAGGCAUUAGCUUGAAUACAUUAGCAUGGAAUAAUGAAAUAGGACGUUUGAUCCUAUUUUGUUGGUUUCUAGGAUUGACGUAAUGAUUAAUAGGGAUAGUUGGGGGCAUUAGUAUUCAAUUGUCAGAGGUGAAAUUCUUGGAUUUAUUGAAGACUAACUACUGCGAAAGCAUUUGCCAAGGAUGUUUUCAUUAAUCAAGAACGAAAGUUAGGGGAUCGAAGACGAUCGGAUACCGUCGUAGUCUUAACCAUAAACUAUGCCGACUAGGGAUCGGAUGAUGUUAAUUUUUUAAUGACUCAUUCGGCGCCUUACGGGAAAC